rnacentral:lncRNA from 1 species
UUUCUUGGCGAUGCUGACAGGCUCCUCCAAGUAAUGAACCAAAGCUUCCCGGAAUUGGGUUUGACGCGGAAAGACUGUAUUGAAACAAGCUGGAUCAAAUCCGUGCUUUACAUUGCUGGCUACCCGAGUGAUACACCCCCAGAGGUUCUACAACAAGGAAAGUCAUUAUUCAAGAACUAUUUCAAAGCCAAAUCAGACUUUGUGCAACGACCCAUACCUGAAACUGGUCUCGAGGGGCUAUGGAAAAGGUUAUUGCAAGAAGACUCUCCGUUGAUGAUAUGGAACCCUUACGGUGGAAUGAUGGCCAACAUUUCAGAAUCUGCCAUCGCUUUUCCCCACAGGAAAGGUAACUUAUUCAAAAUCCA